rnacentral:rRNA from 1 species
GCGCACGGGUGAGUAACGCGUAUCCAAUCUACCCCAUACUCGGGGACAGCCCUCUGAAAGGAGGAUUAAUACCCGAUGUUGCCGGAUGGAGGCAUCUCCUUCCGUCCAAAGAUUCAUCGGUAUGGGAUGAGGAUGCGACUGAUUAGGUAGUAGGCGGGGUAACGGCCCACCUAGCCUUCGAUCAGUAGGGGUUCUGAGAGGAAGGUCCCCCACAUAGGAACUGAGACACGGUCCUAACUCCUACGGGAGGCAGCAGUGAGGGAUAUUGGUCAAUGGGCGGUAGCCUGAACCAGCCAUGCCGCGUGAGGGAUGAAGGCCCUACGGGUCGCAGACCUCUUUUGCCGGGGGAUAACGUGCCCAACGCGUUGGGCAGUGAAGGUACCCGGAGAAUAAGCAUCAGCUAACUCCGUGCCAGCAGCCGCGGUAAUACGGAAGAUGCGAGCGUUAUCCGGAUUUAUUGGGUUUAAAGGGAGCGUAGGCGGGCUGUUAAGUCUGCGGUUAAAUAUCGAUGCUCAACAUCGUUAUGCCGUGGAAACUGGCAGUCUUGAAUGCACGCAAGGAAAGAGGAAUUCGUGGUGUAGCGGUGAAAUGCUUAGAUAUCACGAAGAACCCCGAUUGCGAAGGCAUCUUUCUGGAGUGCGAUUGACGCUGAGGCUCGAAAGUGCGGGUAUCAAACAGGAUUAGAUACCCUGGUAGUCCGCACAGUAAACGAUGAAUGCUCGUCCUUGGCGAUACACGGUCAGGGACUAAGCGAAAGCGUUAAGCAUUCCACCUGGGGAGUACGCCGGCAACGGUGAAACUCAAAGGAAUUGACGGGGGCCUGCACAAGCGGAGGAACAUGUGGUUUAAUUCGAUGAUACGCGAGGAACCUUACCCGGGCUUGAAUUGUGAGUGACGGCAGGCGGAGAUGCCUGCUUCCUUCGGGCACUCAUGAAGGUGCUGCAUGGUUGUCGUCAGCUCGUGCCGUGAGGUGUCGGCUUAAGUGCCAUAACGAGCGCAACCCUUUUCGAUAGUUGCCAUCAGGUAGAGCUGGGCACUCUGUCGAGACUGCCAUCGCAAGAUGUGAGGAAGGUGGGGAUGACGUCAAAUCAGCACGGCCCUUACGUCCGGGGCUACACACGUGUUACAAUGGGGAGUACAGAAAGCAGCUUGCCGGCGACGGUUGGCGAAUCUCUAAAUCUCCUCUCAGUUCGGACUGGAGUCUGCAACCCGACUCCACGAAGCUGGAUUCGCUAGUAAUCGCGCAUCAGCCAUGGCGCGGUGAAUACGUUCCCGGGCCUUGCACACACCGCCCGUCAAG